rnacentral:misc_RNA from 1 species
UCCGGUUUGGCACCGGCGGUCUCCCAUGAGUCCCCGGCUUUACCCGCUGGCAACAUGGGACAGGGGUUGCGCUCGUUGCGCCACUUAAGGCAACACCUCACGGCACGAGCUGACGACAGCCAUGCAGCACCUGUGCCGGCUCCCGAAGGACACGGGCUUUCACCCGCUUUACCCUGCAUGUCAAGCCCAGGUAAGGUUCGUCGUGUUGCAUCGAAUUAAGCCACAUGCUCCGCCGCUUGUGCGGGUCCCCGUCAAUUCCUUUGAGUUUUAGCCUUGCGGCCGUAGUCCCCAGGCGGGGUGCUUAACGCGUUGGCUACGGCACGGGAUCCGUGGAUAGGACCCCACACCUAGCACCCAUCGUUUACGGCGUGGACUAC